UUAUUUCUUGGAGUUCAAAGAAACAGUCCAUAGUUACUCUCUCGACUUGUGAAGCUGAAUAUGUAGCAGCAACGUCUUGUACGUGUCAUGUUAUUUGGCUGAGAAGAUUAUUGAAGGAGCUCAAUUUACCACAAAUUGAAGCUACAGAGAUUUGUAUUGACAACAAAUCCGCACAGGCACUCGCGAAGAAUCCAGUGUAUCAUGAUCGAAGCAAGCAUAUUGAUACAAGGUAUCACUUCAUCAGAUAAAGCAUUGCCAAGAAGAAAGUUGAGCUCAAGUAUGUGAAAUCUCAUGAUCAAGUUGCGGAUAUUUUUACCAAGCCUCUCAAAUUUGAAGAUUUUCAUAGAUUGAGAUCAAGACUUGGAAUGAAGAAGAAAAAUCAAAAUUAAGGGAGAGAGGGGCCAAAUCAAAACAAAAAAAACAAAAAACAAAAAGCAAUUAAAAAAGGAAGAAGAUAACAACAAGUUGCAAUGGCAACUUGUUGCAAUAACGGCUGAAACAAGAACCAAGUUGCAAUAAGUUGCCAAAACUUGUUUUGGCCGGUUACAAAUUGCAAUGCAAAUUGCAAAGAAACCAUUCUGAUUGGUCCAAUAGUUGGCAAGUUUUGCUAUAAAUAGCAAGCCUCGUUCCUCAUUUCAAAAACACCAAAUCAGAGAGAGCACAAUAGAGCGUAGAGAGAGUAAUCCACAUAUUGUAGUCUGUGAGAUAAAUAGUGAGUGUGAGUAAAAUAAAGAGUGUUAUUUCUUUCGAAGUUGUAGUAGUCUCUUGACACUACUAAGUUGUAAUAUUAUAGUGGAAAUAUUUCUCCACUCGGGUAUUGUAUUUUACCCCGUUAAAAGAGUUGAUGUCUUUGUUACUCUUUUGUGUUAUUGUUAUUUACCGUGGAUAUUAUUCCUGGGUGGGACUAUUAUUUUUAUUCCCAACAGUUAGCAAUGGCUACUUGACUUUGGUUUUUCUGCCCAUAGGUGAUCAAUGGAUGAAAAUGAGAAGAAUUCUUGCUUCUCAUGUCCUCUCACAUACAUCUCUUCAGUGGCUUCAUCAUAAAAGGGAUGAAGAAGCUGACCACCUUCUUCGAUUCGUUUACAAUGAAUAUAGCAAUCAACAGGUAAUUAACUUGAGGAAAAUGACAAGAUAUUAUUGUGGGAAUGUUAUUAGGAAUAUGAUUUUCAGCAAGAGAUUAUAUGGAAAAGAAGCUGAGGAGCAAGUUGAUCCAUUCUUCACACUUCUUGAAUACCUCCAUUAUUUUGGUAUCUUAGAUUACUUACCAUAGUUAAGUGUGUUUGAUUUGGAUGGUCACAAGGCAAUUAUCAAGAAAGCCUUUGCCACAGCAACAAAACACAUUGAUACUGAAGUUGAUCAGAGGAUUCAGAUUUGGGAAGAUGGCAACAAAGUUGUAGAAGAAGACAUCCUUGAUGUUCUUAUCAUGCUCAAAGAUGCCAAUGGGAAUCAAUUGCUGAAUGUUAAAGAGAUUAAAGCCCAACUCCUUGAACUCAUGUUGGCAACGAUGGAUAAUCCCUCAAAUGCAGUUGAAUGGACACUUGCAAAAAUGUUGAACCAACCAAAGUUAAUGGAAAGGGCCAUAGAAGAACUCAAUACUGUCAUUAGGAACAAUAGAUUUGUUCAAGAAUCCGACUUGCCACAGCUAAAUUAGGUCAAAGCUUGCAUAAAAGAGGCCUUUCGAUUUUAUCCCAUAUCGCCUUUUAACGUUCCUCAUGUCUGUGUUUCUGAUACAAUUAUAUAUUAGUGAAAAAUACUUCAUUCUCAAAGGGAGUGUAGUGCUAUUAAGUCGUCUUGGAUUUGGCCGGAAUCCUAGAGGUUGGGAGAAGGCGAUGAAGUUUAAGCCAGAGCGCUUUCUUAAGGAAAAAAAUGGUGAAGUAGUUCUCAAUGAUUCAGAGUUACGAUUGUUAUCAUUUAGCACUGGACGACGAGGGUGCCCUGGUGUGAAAAUUGGUUCUACCAUUACUACCAUGUUACUUGCUAGGCUUCUUCACGGGUUUACUUGGAGUUUACCACCAAAUUCGCGAUGCAAUGACUUAAUUGAGUCGUCGAAGAGUGAUCUCUUUUGUACAUUGCCACUUCUUGCUCAAGCAAAACCAAGAUUAGCUAAGGCAAUGUAUUCUUAACACAAAAAUUUGUAAAUCUUAUUGGGUUGUUGUGUAGAGGUAAUCAAAUUUCUUCAAGUGUGUCAGCUCUACAUGAGUUGUUCUUUUUUCUUUUGUUCUAGUGGCUCGUUUGUUGAAUUUUAUUA